rnacentral:lncRNA from 1 species
UCCUUAAUGCAGAAUUUUUCUAAAGAACUCUAAUGGCUUGCUUUCCUUCCUUUCUAUUUUUCUUUAGCCUUCUAAAAUCACUUCUAAUCAUUUUGUCCUAAGGAAGACCACCUUGUCUUAGUUUAGGACACACUAGAAGCAAUGUUAGAAAGAAAGAAACUAAUGUAAGAAAGAAGGGAUAUGAGAGAGAGAGAGUUGGAUUGAUUUCCGAUGAUUAGAAAACACCGGGAGCAUUCCUAUUUAUAGAUGGCGUGGGGAUGCAUCACCAAAGGAUGCAUCCCAUCCACACAUCCUUCAGAUGGGGCGUGAUAAGAGGAGAGAAGGC